rnacentral:lncRNA from 1 species
GCACAAACGUAUCCUAGCCCUCAUAUCAAGUAUUUAGUGCCAUAAACCAAGAUUUAUAAGCAUAAACCUUGAGAUUACACAAAAGUUAACACAUUGCUGUUUUACAGGAAGAAAACUUAUAUUACGUUAGUGAAGUUGGAGCUUAUUUGACCAUCUCAAAUACAGAGAAGACCUACCAAGGAAAGAGUACUAUGAUGAUGUUUGAGACAGUAGUUGGGCAUUCUUUCAAGUGUGUCAGUGAGCAGAGCAUCCAGCUAUCAGCUCAGCUUCAAAUGAAAACAAUGAAUAUCCAUCUUCAGGCCUUUGAUUUUGAAGGAGACUCCUUUGGAAUUGUGGACGAGUGUUUGUCAGACUACACAGUUGUGC